UAACCAUAAAUUUUAUUAUUCAAUGAUAAAUUGUUAUCUGUAAAUGUUAAACCUCAUAUUUGCCAAAAAUAGGAAACAUUAUUUGACUGAAUUGAUUU